UACGUAGGGUGCAAGCGUUGUCCGGAAUUAUUGGGCGUAAAGAGCUCGUAGGCGGUUUGUCGCGUCUGCUGUGAAAACUCGGGGCUUAACUCCGGGCCUGCAGUGGGUACGGGCAGACUAGAGUGCGGUAGGGGAGACUGGAAUUCCUGGUGUAGCGGUGAAAUGCGCAGAUAUCAGGAGGAACACCGGUGGCGAAGGCGGGUCUCUGGGCCGAUACUGACGCUGAGGAGCGAAAGCGUGGGGAGCAAACAGG
rnacentral:rRNA from 1 species